rnacentral:rRNA from 1 species
GAUGAACGCUGGCGGCGUGCCUAAUACAUGCAAGUCGAGCGAACGGACGAGGAGCUUGCUCCUCUGAUGUUAGCGGCGGACGGGUGAGUAACACGUGGAUAACCUACCUAUAAGACUGGGAUAACUUCGGGAAACCGGAGCUAAUACCGGAUAAUAUAUUGAACCGCAUGGUUCAAAAGUGAAAGACGGUCUUGCUGUCACUUAUAGAUUGAUCCGCGCUGCACUAGCUAGUUGGUAAGGUAACGGCUUACCAAGGCAACGAUGCAUAGCCGACCUGAGAGGGUGAUCGGCCACACUGGAACUGAGACACGGUCCAGACUCCUACGGGAGGCAGCAGUAGGGAAUCUUCCGCAAUGGGCGAAAGCCUGACGGAGCAACGCCGCGUGAGUGAUGAAGGUCUUCGGAUCGUAAAACUCUGUUAUUAGGGAAGAACAAAUGUGUAAGUAACUGUGCACAUCUUGACGGUACCUAAUCAGAAAGCCACGGCUAACUACGUG